AAACAACCAUCUUAAGUGAAAGCGAAUUCGAGAUGAGAGUCAUCCUAAUAAUCGGUGUGUUGUUUGCCUUGUGCGGCUGGGCAAACAGUCAGGCUUGCUCCUCAACGUGCCGUCCUAAAUUCGUGGAAGAUUGCCAAUGCGAAUUUAUCCCGGGGUCAUCAGGAACAAGGGGGACUUUACGAGUGUCGCACUGGUGUACGGAUUGGCCGGCAUGCGGCAGUCACUUCGUCUAAAGAUGGACCCUCGGAUCCGGAUGCCACAAGGAUUCCAAGGGAUGCUUCGAAUCCUUCCAAGUGAUACAGAAAUCAACAAAUUUGUUUAAUGCGUCCCCUUUUACUUCGUUUCUUGUAAAUCGACUUCUCCAAGAAAAUAAAUGCGUAUAUAUAGUU